rnacentral:tmRNA from 1 species
GGGACUGAUCGGUAUAGACAUUCGUUCAUUGAUAAUCCUGCAUGUAGAGAACUCUGGCAUAACUCUUUAAAACGCCAGAAUCAUAGAUGGCAAAACCGCUAUCAAGAGUCCGUACUUUAAUGUAUCGGAACUCGCGUUGUCCGCCGUUGCCCUCAGGGCUACCGCUUAGCGCCAUUCGACUUCUUGUGUGAUCGGAGAAUGUUCGAGUGUAAUAAACAGAUCACUGGUGGAGAAGAACUAUGGGGAACUGACGCAUCGUAGAUGCUACUAUCGAACAAACAUGUAGACUGGAUUAUCGAAUAUCGGGUGCACGGGGGUUCGAUUCCCCCCAGUUCCACUU